rnacentral:lncRNA from 1 species
CGUUUUUCUUUUGCUAACCAUUAGAUUCAACAAAUUAAAACAAAACAAAAGGAAGAAUGGGUGAGCAAAGAGUGAAAAGGAUGUGCAUAAAUCACUCCCUUUUUUUUUGCUAAGCAACAGUACUGCUAUUAUGUAGUAGUAAUUAGUCGAAGUUAUAAUAUGUGUAUAUACAACAAUAUAACUUGCUGCUUGCGAAACAAGAAAGCCCCAAUACUUUGACCAUUAACUACGUAUCAUUAGGUUUAAAAUAGUGUAGCAUCCUUUUUCCUUAGUGAUUUAGAAAUUAAUUGAUACCUACGUGGUGUUAUUCAACAUUUCUUUCAAAUCAAUUUAUCAAUAUUUUCCUUGUAUUUUCUGUGAUUAUUGCUGAAGAAAGAAUCCAAGAGCAUAAGAGAAGGGAUUCAUUUUUUCACGUGCAGUAGGCCAUGCAUGAUCAUAUUUUAAGCGAGACAGAGUCGAGAGAGCAUAUACAAUUGAUAAGUAUGGUGACGGAACAAUACAAAAGUAAGACCUAAAUUAAUCAUGCAGAAUGAAAAGACUGCAUUCAAUGGAUUACUGUCUAUGCAUAUCUUCAAAUCCCUUUCAAAUUCAGCGUUUGAGAGACGAAUGAGAAGAGAGGAUGCCAAUCUUUUCAGAAGGGAGGAACAAAAACAAGCACAAACGUACGAACAUG